CACACAGAAGGCGUGUCCUCGUCCAUUGGUUCUUGCAUGACAAUCAGAGGGACACGGAUCCUCCCUUUCAUCAAUGACCCAGAGCUGCGGGUGGAAUUCUACACUGGGAUGAAUGAGAACUCAGACAUCGCCUUCCAUUUCUGAGUGCACUUUGGCCAUUGUUUGGUCAUUGACAGCCAUGUGUGUGGGGCCUGGAAGUGUGAGGGGAGAUGCCACAAUGUGUUCUUCAAGGACGGCAAACAAUUUGAUCUGAGCAUCUUGGUGCUAGACAAUGAAUACCAGGUAAUAAUAAAUGGCCAACACCAUACAUCUUUGCCCAUCCACUUCCACCAUGUUCUAUGAAGAUUUUGCAAGUGUGGGAAGAUGUCUCCCUGACCUCAAUGUCUGUCUGCAAUUUAUGGAGAUGACCACACCCCUCAUUGUUGAGGAAUCCCUCUUUCCAUGUGACCAUAGGAUCCCCAGAGCCUGCUAACAGCAUGAUCUCUCCUCACCCUUUUCCCUACACUUGGUCAUUAAAACAUCACCAAACUUC
rnacentral:lncRNA from 1 species